rnacentral:rRNA from 1 species
UACGUAGGUGGCAAGCGUUGUCCGGAAUCAUUGGGCGUAAAGCGCGUGUAGGCGGUCCGGUAAGUCCGCUGUGAAAGUCGAGGGCUCAACCCUCGAAUGCCGGUGGAUACUGUCGGGCUUGAGUACGGGAGAGGCGAGUGGAAUUCCUGGUGUAGCGGUGAAAUGCGCAGAUAUCAGGAGGAACACCGAUUGCGAAGGCAGCUCGCUGGAACGUUACUGACGCUGAGACGCGAAAGCGUGGGGAGCAAACAGG